UGCGCAGGCGGCUUGCUAAGUCGGAUGUGAAAGCCCCGGGCUUAACCUGGGAAUUGCAUUCGAUACUGGCAAGCUAGAGUCUGGUAGAGGUAAGCGGAAUUCCGGGUGUAGCGGUGAAAUGCGUAGAUAUCCGGAGGAACAUCAGUGGCGGAGGCGGCUUACUGGACCAAGACUGACGCUCAUGCACGAAAGCGUGGGUAGCAAACA
rnacentral:rRNA from 1 species